UCUAUAUCUAAAUGUUAAAUCUAUAUCUAAAUGUUAAAUGUUAUAUCUAAAUGUUUCGAAAAUAUGCAAAUUGAACACGCCCCCUAUCGGGUUCACGCCCACACCACCGACCUUGGAUCAGCCAUGAGGUCCAUCUGUGGAGGACACUGGAAACAUGCCGCACAGACGGCUGACAAGGCAACUUCCUAUAACUAUAUAACUUUCUCCCUUUAACGGCAAAGUUUCUUGUUUUAAUGAGAGACUUAUCUUGCUUAAACGACAUCAUUUUCGUCUCAUAACAACGCAACAUAACCCGGCAUCAGCUCGCGGGAUAUUUGAGUGUCAUGGAGAAGAGGAGAGACGGAGGGGCGCCUUUUAUUACUUUUUAAGAAGUCGUCAUUUGUCGGAGGAAUGUAUUUCUGCACUGAGGAGUGACAAGACUGACAUAUCAGCUAUAGCAAGCAUGGAUGAGAGCUUGGCCAUCUAUAUUCCCACCUAUGCUGACAGAAUUGCCACCCAGAGAUUUUGCUUCGAGUUCCAAGGAAAAGGUGAAAGAGAUGUCCUUCAACAGACGUGGCUUGAAAAACUCUUUACAUGCAAAUCUUCAUGGAAAAAGUCCAAUUUGAUCUAAAAUGUUUUUGGUUUCAGGUAAUAUCACUAUGUAAUAUAUUUAAAAAGAAAGCUUACCAUUUGACUCAAAAUGUGUUUUCAAGAACAUAUGGAAGUGAGCCACAAUAGAGUCAGUUAGCUUUUGUUUUUGUUGACAAAGAUAUAGAGCAAAAAUACUGAUUAAAAAGAUUACUCCAACAACAUUGUGAAAUACAAUUUUUUGAAGUGAAAUUAUUGCUGUUGCUAUUAAGCUUUUUUAAGGUAAAAAAUUUUAAAGCAUGUGUUUAAACUGUACUUACUUUUCUUUCCAUAGGGCAUUAUUUUUCUUUUAUAUUCUUUAAAGUUGAUUGUAAAAUAGAUAAAUGCUUUGAGCGCAAUAGUGCCCAGAUUUCUAACAACGACUUUUGUCAUAUGUAAAAGGAUUUUCUCAUGUUCAAUUUUGAGAUCCAUGUAUUCAUCUUUUUAAUACUCAUAGAUCAUGUUCUAGUUUGGUCAUCUUCUGGAGUUAGAGAAAUUCCUUUCAAAAGGAUCUUUCAGAGCACUUGUUAAAGGUACUUUUAAUGAAUGUUCUUCUGUGAGUUGAUGUAACAUUGCAAUAUAAUGUUAUGUUUCUAAGGAAAGAACAAGUUGGUUUGAUCACAAACCAUUGCACUUUAUUUUGUAAUGGGUUUUUACCAAAGAUUCAUUAAAAUUUUUCAUGUUACACAUAA